CCACGGCCACGCACAGGCUACCGCAGUGGUUUGCCGCUGUCAAAAAGGGGAAGAAUUUAGAGUAGGUGGGAGGGGGAGGACGGGGGCAGGUGUGCGUCUGGUCUCUCUGCGUGUGCCGGUGCCCUUCGAAGAUCUAAGGCAGCUUAAGGCGGCGGCGGCUUGGGAUUAAGGGGACGGGCCGGCGAGGCUAGGCGGGGCGACAGAGGGCCGAGCGCCGCGGUUACCGGCUGUCCCUCCUCCUCUUCCGCCUCCGGCACGCCCUCCCCCUCCUCGUCGUCCUUGAACUCCUCCUCAUGCUCUCGCUGGAGCUGCUGCGCGGGGAGGGCCGCCACUCCGCGGCCCGGCGCCGCUCGCUGCUCCUUCUCCUCCUCCUACUCCUCCUGCGCCCCAACGGGCGCGGCGCCUCCCCCCGGCCUAGGCCACGCCUCAGGCUGCCCGUCCCGCGGCGGCUCCUCAUGCCGCUCCUCAUGCUCCUCCUCAUACUCCUCAUGCUCCUCCACAUGCUCCUAAAGCUCGUCCCCGCCCCGCCCCGCCGGCGGGUCCGCCAACGGCGCGGCUCUCGCCGCCGCCUCCCCCGGCUCCUCCCUCCACUUCGCCGCUGUCGCCGCCGCCGCCGCCCUCUCCUCCCCCUCCUCCCCUUCUUCCUCUCGCUCGGGAAACGGCACGGCUGCCGCCCGCGAAAGAUGUACGUGCUGCUGGCGAAGGUCCUCAGGGCGCCGCCGGCGCCAGCGCCUUCCUCUUGUGACUCAUUAUCCUUGAACACCUUAGGAUUUCUCCUCCUUCGAACCCAGGUACUGUCUAAACUACUCUACGUAGGUGCACCCAUAGUAUUACCGUUAUACUCUUUAAGUUCCCCGGCGAGACCUCCCGCACAACCACCUGGACCGCCGUCCUGAGCACCACAACCGGCACCAUUAAAGUCUCCGUUGUCCAGAGCUCGCGUAUUAGGACUACCAUUGGUCUUGAUGUCGAUACAAGGUUUCCCUAGAGAUCAAAGGGAACUAUUAUGUUUUUUACGACAUGGUCAGGACGCGCUCGUGUCCUUCUUGUCUCGAGGAUUUAGCAGAGUACGAGCGUUACUACUACAACUAUUAAAACUACACCAAGGUUUUCUUAGAAUGUGAAUGUUACUGCCAAGGUCUUCAGCAUUCCGGUGUGGUUCGCAUUAAGUACCGUCUCCGAGAUCUGCAAUGGUUGGUGCAGCGUCAUGGUUACUCUAUAGAAGUCUCGUUUUACUAUUUAGUGUCUUUGGACUUUUACGAAACAGUUUACGUUUAAACCCCUUUGUGGUCGGAGUCUUAAGUUUAAGAGCCGGACUCGUUCCAAAAGGAUUAUUCGUUAGGAAACGUAGUUUGAACUUAAGUCGGAGCGGCGGAAAAAUGGGAAGUUCCGGCAGGGUGGUCCUUGACUAACCAGUUUCCCCCUUACGUGUUGGAUCAUGGUGAUCAUCUGGGAAGAGUGGGGGGUAACCAUACCAUGUACAAAGAGGUUGGGGUGUUUUACGGGGGGACAACUCUCCCUUCCGAAAGCAUGGCUUCCCGUGUUUAUAUGUCAGUAGAGGUAGUAGUAGUUUAUGGGUUAGGUGUGAUUCCUACGGUUGGGUCUACAACCCACGUGUUAAACCAUCAUCACCAGCUUACGGUAGAAAGUGUGUUGGAUGCAGAUGUCGAAACUGACUUCUGUGACCACAAAGAAGUGGACUACCUAGUUUGCUUCGACAAUGAGCUAACUGCCACUUCCCCGUUGGACCACUGGUCCCUCUUCUCGCACGAAGAAAAGGGAUACCACCUCCAGUACAAGACCCUCGAUGUCCUCCGGAAAGUGAACCACUGUUUCCAAAGGUACCUUGGGGUCGUGAGAAAGGUCAAUACGUCAAACCUCCGGUCGUAGGUCCACACGGACCACAAGGAAGUUAGCCAUACCGAAAUGGUCCUAAACACAGAGUCGUUGUUGUACCGCAGUCGUUAAGACUCUACCGAACCGACGGUUAUAACAGGCCAAGGCGACCUCCAAAUCCUCGUUGAAUACCGAGUGGAAUAAAACGGUACCUACCGUCGAUAAUAAGGGCUGGAAGACUCGUCCGUAGAAGAAGUCAAUUAGGAUCUCUUGAAUCACGUUCAUUACGCGGCAGAGUCAACUUCGGGGGUGUUUAUUGUCUUCAACAUUUACUACUCGGAUCAGUUGCGGUUUUAUUUGGAGCGGCUAUGAGCGUCUACUUGGAACCGGUCACUGGUAUCCUACUACAAUUGUUCGUGAAGUACUCGAAACCCAGAAACGUUCUAAACCCGUUCUGAACAAUAGAGUUGUUCCAGAAUGACUCAUCGACUUCGUGAAGCCACAGACGAGACACGUGAAACCCAAUAAAUCAUAGGUUUUCUACAGUCCAACCGACAACUUCGACAGGUACAGUGAUAUUAGUGAGCGUCACUAAUAAGACUACCCAGCGACGGUCGCCAAGACAACGAGAUCGUGCAUUCUGAUGACGGCUACUGCCCUCCGCUCUAAGAACCCCAGCACAAACCAACCCCUUCCUUCACAUUAUCUUACCAGUACCAAGGUGCGGCGACCUUGUCCAACCAAGGCAAACACACGAACCAGUCACAAACCAAACUCCCUACCUAAACCAACUCGAGUGGAGAACACAUCUUUACCACUCUAAUGGAGCAUACGUACACAUCUGAUAUACUUGUUAAUAAUGAGACAUAAAAUCGUUGUCUAAUAAGCUGAAGAGCCGUUGUAAAGUUAACAUAGAUGACGUGAACGACGGCAUGAACGGUUUGUAAAAGGGUACACGUUACCGUAGUCGGUUUAUGACUUUUGACUUAGCUAACUACCUCACACAAC
rnacentral:rRNA from 1 species